CGGGGCGCGGGGCGGGAGCGGGGGCGCGGCCAGUACAGCUCCUGCGCGAGCGCCGGCAGCUCUGGUUUUACAGUGAAGGAACAAAAAGCCCUGAUUCUUUAUACCAAAGGAAAGAAAAUGCACCGAAUGGCUUUUUUCUUUUCUUUUUUUUUUUUUUUUCCAUAUUCAGGUAGCUUUGGGUGUUCUGGCAAUGCCCAUGAAGAUCAAGGAGCAGAAUAAAAUCUGUGAUCUGACAGCAGCCCAGGUGGAGAUCUGCAUGCUCCCUUGGCAGAUGAUGUUUGUAGAGAAGUGUGUGGAAGUGGAUGCUUGGCUGUGUCCUGGUAUUGGUGACACAGGAUAAGCUACACUGGCUGCAUUACUUCAAGAUUAGGAAGGAGACCUUUAGGUAUAGGCUGUGCGUAAAGAACCAUUUUGCUAUUACUCGCUACGCAGGUAAAAUUGUUUUUCCUGGGGAAAAGAGGUGGUUGCACUGGGAAAACUGGCUGCUUGGAGUAGUACAAUUAGCAGCGCUGGCGUGCCUGGGUUUUCAAAUGCUGAGAAGCACCAGGAAUAAACUUAUCACUGUGCUGUACCCACGUGAUGUGUAUAAUCAGCUGUGAAUUAUUUAUUUCUAUUUUAACUGCAGCUAGUCAGCAUUUCUAGACCAUGCGAGACUCUGGUCUGGGUAGGCACAAAUCCCUCAGACUGAGCAGAAGCAGAGCACACGGAUGGCAUUUCAGUGUCAGUUCCCAGAUAUCGUGCAGCACUACAAAAUAUUCCAGCAGCGGCAGGAGCACUGGAAAUGCUACUUAAUGAUCACACAGCAGGAGCAGCCCCUCUGCUGAUAAACGCUUCUCUGGGCUGGACAGUGUGGAAACAGCGUUAAAAGAAACCAGGCCCACUUGUCCUGCCAAACAGGUUGUUGCCAUGCACAGUCGAACUGCAGCAGCUUUAGUGCAACAACAGGGUUUAGGAGAAAAAUCAUAGCGUAGCCAUGAAAUGAGCUGUCGGAGAGAACCAGCAGGACAGUAUGUGUAUGGAGAUUGUACUGCUGGUGACAAAGCGUAAGCCCUGGCCUUGGAAAAAAUUAGUGUGCAGAGAGCUGCAGCAUAACAUUACAGUGUGCCAACUAGUUUACUGUGGGAAAUGUGUGCUGCUUCACUUUUAAUCUCUAUUCUUUUCAUAGGGGUAUUGGAAAAGGAAGUAAAACAGCUGCUGUAAAGCCUAGCAAGUGACGUGAUUCUUGUGAAUAGUUGUGAAAAAAAAUGUAGAGCUAUUUAUGAAUGGAAAGCAUUAUACAAAUAAAAUGUAAACAGUUGGUAUGUUUGAGCUACCUUCGAGGCAUCUUCAGUUUCAAAGUAUUGCAUAAAGUUACUUGAAACCAUUAGGUGAAAUUUGUCUCCUCUAUUCUUUCUGAGAUUUCUGCAUAGUGAGAAGACAAAAUCAAAGUCCUCUUUGAGGAGUUUGCAGUCCAGCUCAGCUUUCUUAUAGGUAGUCCCACCGAAUGUGAUCUAACUCUAUAAACCAUCACAUAUUCAAUAAGAAAUAGUAGUGUGGGAGAAGCAAGAGAACAGAAGACAGAAACUGCUCUAUUUGUGAGUGAUAAGGAGAAGUGAUUUGUUAUUCCUUUCCUUACUGAACAGUGUAAAUGCUCUGUUCUCUUCUAAGGCGCUUAAGACACCUAAGCUACCGUAAGCCAUUACUGUGGUUAUUAGUUCAGCCCUCAAAGAGUAAUAUGUAUUUCACAGAACAAAUAAGAUAAAUGCCCUUUUACCAUAGAGCUUGCAAACUAUGUUUUGUCACAGGUGAGAGCAACAACUAGAAAAGAGGUCUAUACAGAAGAAAUGCAGAAAUAUGGGUAGGCUUCUGCAGUCCUCUCCGUUCUCUGAGACACCAGGAAGCACGGUGCCUGUGUGGUUACCUGCUGCGAGGGGAUCACGGCUGUGCAAUUUUGCUCUUUAAUCAUAUUGAUGCAUAUCUAUCCCUGGGGGAGCUGGUGGUUGUAAGUAACAGGAGUGUGCAGGAUCUCUGUAUUUCUGCUCGUGGGCCAUUGCAAUCUGUGCAAUGGAUGCCCAAGGUUCUGUUGCGUAGGGAAGGUUUGUGUGAAGGUAGGGUCGUGCUCUGCUGGCUGCCAGCCAGCUGCCCAUAUGGUUGCCAGAAUGCAGCAUUAAUUUUCUGAGGCAGCGUGUGUCCGAAAUACAGUGCCACACCAUAUAAAUCAGCACGCUAUUGGAAGUUAUAAAUUCACAGAUAAGAUGGAAUUGUUAAAGUAACCCUUACUGUGGCUUCUUGAGUGUACACAUGUUUUUAGAGCAGAAGCAUCAGAGCUGGAAUUCUGCAUAGUGUAAUGCAAAAGCUUACAGGAGAGCAGCAGGAACACUGCAAACCUGGGUCAUCAAACUGCAGUCCUUACGUGGAUGGCACACCCACUGAGGUAAAUAAAUGAGCCUGAAGAAGGAUUGCAGCUAUGGUCGGUAUAAACACACAUGAGUCAGGGAGGGAAGAAUUUUUUGUUGCGCCAUUAUCUCACCUGCAUGAAUUGCACACACUGUAUACAUCAAAGUAUCAAUUUCAUAGCUUAACUGGUAAACAAACAUAGUGCAUAAAGGCUACGUGGGCAAAUUCAUGCCGCAUGAAAAAUCUUUGCAUUUAGAUCCCGUUUUUCUUAGCGUAUGAAUGGCAGAUUUUCAUAACCUUGACCUCUUUAAAAAAAUUAAGUAAGGGGAGGGGAGUAGAGGGGAAAACAGGGCAAGUGUGGCACGUUAUAUAAUUGUUUUUUGGAAGUCUUUAGGUUUUCAGUUCGAUUAUCCUUGCUCUAUUUUCAGGGGAAGGAAGGAAAGCACUACACAGUAUAAAUGGCAGCUAAUCACUUAUCUUGGUAAAUUUACCCUUUGUUUUAUAUGUGGAAGAAUAACAAAAAACUGCCAAAACAAUUCCUUGAAGAGGAGGAUGCUUAAUUUUUAUUACAAACAAGACUUUUCCAAGUAAUUUGGUGGUGAACACUGAUGCACUUAAGACUUAGGUUCAUAGCGCUUGUGUUCAGGCCUACCUGUGCACGUAGGUUCAGAGCAGAGACUAGAUUCAGACCUGUCUUUAUUGAAGCACGUUCUUUGAUCCAUGUUCAACAAGAUGGACAGGAGUUUGACUGCCUUGGAGCAUGUGAAUAUUCACAUUGAUUUCAGCAAGAUGUCUGUCUGUCUUCAGCUGAACCAGUCUUGGAAAUGAGAAGCACAUGCGAGUCUCACACACACACAGGAUCAGGCCCCAGUGAGAUGUUUGCAAUCAGUGUUGUCCAGUACUGGAAUCCUCCUGGUACCUUCAGAUUGAUACUGAAAGCUUUCCCAGAAAAUGCUUUUUACCCAGGGAGUGAUGUUCUCAACACAGAAGUGAUUAGGACAAAUUUAGUGGCUGGUAUACACAUUAGAUUAGGAGAUGAUCUCUCCUGACCUUGUCUCAUACAAUUUGAAAUGCAAUCAGUUUAACAUUUGGAGAAGAUGUAGAUACAACAAAAGCUUUCUACUAGGUUUUUUGUUGCUGUUGUUGCUUUUGUGGGUUUUUUUUUGUUUGUUUGUUUUGUUUGUUUUAAUAAGAGAUCUCUAUUUUGAAGUAUUUUCAACCGAACUGCUGUGUCCUGAGAAAGGGCAGGAAACUGACCAUAAGAGGGGAAAGAAAGAAAAAAGUCAAUGUAAAGUUGUCAAGUGGACCGUGUAAAUUAACCGUGUAAAUAAACCCUAUUUCCAGAAACUAAGCUCCCCUCCCUGUGAUAUACAGCAUUAUUUAAUAAAUGGCAAAGGCGCUUAGAUAGAAGUUGCACAUUUCUUUUAAAUUGAGGAUAGCUCUCCAAUCAAUAGCCCGAACAAGGCUAUUAGUUACAACAAUGUAUAAUCGUUUCAAGACUCUUUCAGCAAGAUAUAGUGGGUGUUUGGUCUUGUAAUUAACCCACCACCAUUGGCCACGCAUUCUCUCCACCCUGUAAUUACUCAACUUAAAAAACACCACCAUUCACAGCAUACAUUGUAUAGAACAUUAUAAUUGUAAUGUUUUUACACUCACACAGUGUUUAUAACUCACCCAUACAUUUCAGGAGCAGAAGCCAUUUGUCCAGAUCUAAGCAUUUUUUGGAUCAGAAAGGUUAAUUUGGAAACAACUUGAGUUAGCAUGCACAGAGUCAUUGGCUUCUUGUAUUUAUUUAACUUUUUUUGGAACUAAUCUAGAAGUACUGAAUGGAUUUUCACUUAAAAAUGCCUUGCCACUGAGCUAAGAAUGUAAUGGAUAAUGAAUCAUUUGCUCCAACAAAUUGCUGUUCUUUCUGAUUGUAGAACAUGCGUAAGUCCUGUACGUAGAGAAAUUCAGCCUCAAAAGAAAAUGCUUCAGGAAGCUUAUAAGUGAAAACUUUGGUGUAAGCCUGUGAAAAGAAAAUGCCUGCUCAGCAAAAGCAAACAAACAAACAAAAAUCACCCAACAAUCUUCUCUCAGCAAGUUUUCCUUAGUAAUGCUUUCUCAUUCUCGAGGUCUUUGGCCAGAACAAGCAUGGAAUAGAAGCAGACUUGUGCAUAAGAGUAAAAAGCAACAGAAAGCAUCUGGAAAGCCUACUGUAGAAACCUGCCGUGAGAUUUCUUUUAACUAACCUGAAUUGUUUGAAAAUCAAAAAAUGAGUGUUAGUGUAGACCCUCUCCGAGGGUAGUGGAGAAUAGUAGACAUUUCCAGAAGGAUUCAGAUCUCUGCCUUGUGACAGGGUUAAUCAGCUUAUUAUUCAUGUCCUUAUGCUACCUUUUAGAUCACAGAAUCAGAGAAUGGUCUGGGUUGGAACGGACUUUAAGAUCACCCGUUUCCAACCCCCUUGCUACAGGCAGGGACACCUCCCACUAGACCAGGUUGCUCAAAGCCCCAUCCAGCCUGGCCUUGAAUGCUUCCAGGGAGGGGGCAUCCACAACCUUACUGGGCAACCUGUUCCAGUGUCUCACUGGCCUCACAGUAAAUAUUUUCUUCCUCAUAUCUAGUCUAAAUCUACCCUCUUCCAGUUUAAAACCAUUUUCCCUCAUCCUGUCACUACAUGCCCUUAUAAAAAGUUGCUUCCCAGCUUUCUUGUAGGCCCCCUUCAGGUACUGGAAGGCCACUAUAAGGUGCCCCUGGUGCCUUCUCUCCUUCUCUUUUCCAGACGGCUGCAAAGAGCUGAGGUCAAUCCCUCCUUGAGAAUGCUGCUACCAUCCCUCAACUUCUUCAAAUCUUCAGUGUUUUGAUUGUGUCAUGGGCUUCACUUCAAAGCCCAUACCUUGCUUUAGCCAGUGAUGCCAUUUUGUAUCAGACAUUAUAUGGUUAUCACAUUUAUACAGACAGUCCCUCCAUCUGCAUUAAACCCACUGCAUUAAGCUCAACGAAGCACUUGCUCUUCACUUUCCAGAGGCCACAGCUCAGUCCAGCCCAACUGGGUGUUGAAGGGAGCUUAUUUUACAUUGCAGAACAGGACAUAGAGAUACUCAGGCUACAUCUGAAAGCACUUCCUUUUUAGUUGGCUAAAUUUGUCUCUAUGGUAUUCUCUGCUGCCUCACCUCCUAGCAUGGGUGUCUGCUCUUAGCACUGCAUCCGCCAGCACAAGAAUACCGGGUAAUUACACUCUGAAAUAACUGAGCCCUGACUCUCCUCUGUGAGACCAACCUUUAAUAGGAGGCUGUGCAUUUUUUCCUCUAACACCCUCACCUUUCAUCCUGUGCCACUCCUUGAUUGUGGGAAGGGACCAAGCCAAAAUCACAGAGGUGAUUCCUUUGGAUCCUUCUAAACUCACUGGUCAUAAAGCUUGUGACCUACUAGCCUAUGGUAAGGUACCUUGCAUUCUGCAACCUCUGCUUGUUGCUCUAACCAGAAGCCUUGUUUUUCAUACCUUUCCAUUUUCUGUCUGGUCAUCAUUGUCUUUUCUCCUUA
ensembl:lncRNA